CGCGUAGGUGGUCAGGGAGGUCAGGGGUGAAAUCCCCCGGCUCAACCGGGGAAUUGCCUCUGAAACCGCCUGACUCGAGUGGAACAGGGGAGAGUGGAACUCGCAGUGGAGCGGUGAAAUGCGUAGAUAUUGCGAGGAACGCCGGUGGCGAAAGCGAUUCUCUGGGUUCUUACUGACACUGAGGCGCGAAAGCCAGGGGAGCAAACGGGAUUAGAUACCCCGGUAGUCCUGGCUGUAAACGAUGAACACUAGGUAGAGGAGGUUCCCAUACUUUCUCUGCCGGAGGUAACCUGUUAAGUGUUCCGCCUGGGGAGUACGGCCGCAAGGUUGAA
rnacentral:rRNA from 1 species